UUCCUCUCUGAAGAAAUAUUGCAGCAUCACACCUCUUCCCAGUACAAACUGUCAAAUGUCUUCAGGCUGAGGGGCUAUCCAUGACACUGAACUCCAGGAUUGUGUCAUUCUGGUUUUCUGCAGUAUUUUGCUCUCAAAAUGGGGUAUUUUCUCUGGUCCUGGCAGAAAAAAAGGAGGAAAGAAAAGGUCGUAGGCCACCUGUCUUUUUUUGGAUUCUCUCUUUUAAUUUCAAAACUGAUGAACCACUGUUGGUCCUAGCUCUGCCCUACGGGACCCAACGGAUGCUUCCAUACUGGUCAGAAGUUGGAAGAGCUGCUCCCACUCUCCCACCCCAGAACAGCACUUUGGAAUAAAAAUAAGUAUCCAGAGAACUUUUCAAAUGAUCUUUGAGUGGGCUGUGUCCUCCUGCAUUUGUUUGUGUGAUGGAAUGUCAAAAUGGGGUGGUGUAGACAUAAUUAUUGCUGUUUAUUCAGCCAAAUACUCACUGAAUGGAGCCUUAACUUGAGAAUAAUUGCAGAUAAAAUGAAGCUAUAUUUUUGAUGAAUAAAUUGUUCUUCUUUCAAAUGUG